CCUACGGGAGACUGCAGUAGGGAAUCUUCCACAAUGGGCGAAAGCCUGAUGGAGCAACGCCGCGUGGGUGAAGAAGGUCUUCGGAUCGUCAAACCCUGUUGUUAGAGAAGAAAGUGCGUGAGAGUAACUGUUCACGUUUCGACGGUAUCUACCCAGAAAGCCACGGCUAACUACGUGCCAGCAGCCGCGGUAAUACGUAGGUGGCAAGCGUUAUCCGGAUUUAUUGUGCGUAAAGGGAACGCAGGCGGUCUGUUAAGUCUGAUGUGAAAGCCUUCGGCUUAACCGGAGUAGUGCAUUGGAAACUGGGAGACUUGGGUGCAGAAGAGGAGAGUGGAACUCAAUGUGUAGCGGUGAAAUGCGUAGAUAUAUGGAAGAACACCAGUGGCGAAAGCGGCUCUCUGGUCUGUAACUGACGCUGAGGUUCGAAAGCGUGGGUAGCAAACAGGAUUAGAUACCCCAGUAGUC
rnacentral:rRNA from 1 species